rfam:Candidatus Levybacteria bacterium RBG_16_35_11 RBG_16_scaffold_779, whole genome shotgun sequence.
GUUUGGAAAAUCGGGUGAAAUCGGUGUAAUUCCGAUGCUGUGCCGCAACUGUAAAGCCAGAUCCCCGUUAAAA